AAGUCCCGCAACGAGCGCAACCCUUAAGCUUAGUUGCCAUCAUUAAGUUGGGCACUCUAAGUUGACUGCCGGUGACAAACCGGAGGAAGGUGGGGAUGACGUCAAAUCAUCAUGCCCCUUAUGAUUUGGGCUACACACGUGCUACAAUGGACAAUACAAAGGGCAGCGAAACCGCGAGGUCAAGCAAAUCCCAUAAAGUUGUUCUCAGUUCGGAUUGUAGUCUGCAACUCGACUACAUGAAGCUGGAAUCGCUAGUAAUCGUAGAUCAGCAUGCUACGGUGAAUACGUUCCCGGGUCUUGUACACACCGCCCGUCACACCACGAGAGUUUGUAACACCCGAAGCCGGUGGAGUAACCUUUUAGGAGCUAGCCGUCGAAGGUGGGACAAAUGAUUGGGGUGAAGUCGUAACAAGGUAGCCGUAUCGGAAGGUGCGGCUGGAUCACCUCCUUUCUA
rnacentral:rRNA from 1 species